GUUUAGCUUUGAUUUAUCCUUACCUUUUCAUGUGACCCAUUCCCCUUAGGUUCAAUUAAGUUGACCUCUCCUUCAGGCGACUUAAAGGGAGACCAGAUGUGCGGCAGCUGGGUGUCAUGGUGCAGAGACCCAACGCUGUACUGAACUACACCAGUGUGUCCUACUCCCCAUAAACCCUGAGGAUCCCUGGCUACACCAGCACAUUAAUCCACACCCAACAUUAACACACAGUGCACACUCUAUAGAGCUUGUAAGUCCGCCCCUUGCGGCGGGACCUCUUGAGAUCGUAAAAUAUGACUGGGUUUCAAUGGAGAGAAAGUAAUUAUUUUCUCCAUUAUGUUGCACCACAUUUUGGGGGAAGAAUGUUUGAAUCAAUCUUUGUCAUUUAUUUCUGUACUCCACAUCUGUAAUCCCAGCUGUUGUAUUUUAACACGGUAGCUGGGAACCCUCUUUAUAGGGAGCGGCUAGAGGGACGAGGCUGGAAGCAAACCUGAGCCUGGAUCUUAACCUUCUUUCUAAACCUAAUGCCGCAAUUUAACCGCAAAUAAAGUGAGGCCUAAAGUAACUUGACUCUCUUACCUAAACUUGCUUGCCUAAACUCGCUUGUCUAAACUCGCUUGCAUAAAACCUAAACUCGCUUGCAUAAAACCUGAACUUGCUUGGCUAAACUCGCGUCGCUUGCCUAAUACCUGAACUUGCUUGCCUAAACUCGCUUGCCUAAUGCCUGAACUCGCUUGCCUAAUACCUAAACUCGCUUGCCUAAACUCGCUUGCCUAAACUCGCUUGCCUAAACUCGCUUGCCUAAUACCUGAACUCGCUUGCCUAAACUCGCUUGCCUAAUGCCUGAACUCGCUUGCCUAAACUCGCUUGCCUAAACUCGCUUGCCUAAACUCGCUUGCCUAAUACCUGAACUCGCUUGCCUAAACUCGCUUGCCUAAACUCGCUUGCCUAAACUCGCUUGCCUAAUACCUGAACUUGCUUGCCUAAACUCGCUUGCCUAAUACCUGAACUCGCUUGCCUAAUACCUGAACUCGCUUGCAUAAAACCUAAACUCGCUUAGCUUGACUCGCUUGGCUAAACUCGCUUGCAUAAAACCUAAACUCGCUUGCCUAAUACCUGAAGUCGCUUGCCUAAUACCUGAAGUCGCUUGCCUGAAGUCGCAUGCCUAAUACCUGAAGUCGCUUGCCUAAACUCGCUUGCCUAAAGCCUAAACUUGCUUGUCCAAACACGUUACACAAAGUUAACCAUCCAUAAUCUUUAACCCAAACCAGACUUGUCCCUGGGUCGCUCCACUUUAAUUUAGAAGUUUCUUCUUUUACCUCAUCUGCGUUUUGAGUUUCAUUCUUUGAGGGCUUGAAGUGCUUUGGAGGAUAUUUGAACCUUUGUUUGCCGCAUCAAUAAACAUGCUUUAUCUUUA